rnacentral:lncRNA from 1 species
AGCAUUUGCUCUGCUGGUGACCCAUGGUUCCGCAGAACUCGCAAGAUGGCCUAUUCCCCCGCGAUUCGCUAGCACCCUGUCCCUGCUUGGGCUUAGAUGGCCCAGCCCCCUUCUGCUUUUGCCCGCCCAUUCCUCUGGACCCCCCUGAGGUCGACGCGCUGCCCUGUCCCUGGGAAAUCAAGGCAACCAAACGCUCAACAAUACCGGAGGGGAUGUCAGAGGUCAAAAGCGCGGACUUCGUCUUUGGGGGAUUUAAGACACGGCACUGCGCCGUAUCGUGAGAUGCAUUAGUGCCGUGCUUCUCGCAGUAAAAGGUGCGUUUUUCCUUAAUAGGGGGUUUUGCUGCACUCUUCUGCUG